rnacentral:rRNA from 1 species
ACUCAAUAGAUACCCUGGUAGUCCACGCCCUAAACGAUGUCUACUAGUUGUCGGGUUUUAAUUAACUUGGUAAACGCAGCUAAACGCGUGAAAGUAGACCGCCUGGGGAGUACGGUCGCAAGAUUAAAACUCAAAGGAAUUGACGGGGACCCGCACAAGCGGUGGAUGAUGUGGAUUAAUUCGAUGCAACGCGAAAAACCUUACCUACCCUUGACACGUACGGAAGCUUGGAGAGAUCUGAGUGUGCUCGAAAGAGAGCCGUAACACAGGUGCUGCAUGGCUGUCGUCAGCUCGUGUCGUGAGAUGUUGGGUUAAGUCCCGCAACGAGCGCAACCCUUGUCAUUAGUUGCUACGAAAGGGCACUCUAAUGAGACUGCCGGUGACAAACCGGAGGAAGGUGGGGAUGACGUCAAGUCCUCAUGGCCCUUAUGGGUAGGGCUUCACACGUCAUACAAUGGUACAUACAGAGGGCCGCCAACCCGCGAGGGGAGCUAAUCCCAGAAAAGUGUAUCGUAGUCCGGAUUGUAGUCUGCAACUCGACUGC